rnacentral:misc_RNA from 1 species
UCGAAUAAACUUGAACAGGCUGUUGCUGGUCCCAGGACAAUGUGCACGCUUGUCAUCUUUAUCAUUUCUCCCAACUGUGCACACAUUGUAGACCCUGGAUUUGUUCCGAGUGGGGACUGCUGUGCUUCAAAAGAAGUCGGCUUUCCCCUUGAAGGUCUAUGUUCAUUUUUCACAACCUCUCGAAUGUGUUUAGAAUGUUGAAAUAAAGAAAAGUUAAUAAAAUA